rnacentral:rRNA from 1 species
AUACGUAGGGUGCGAGCGUUGUCCGGAAUUACUGGGCGUAAAGAGCUCGUAGGGGGUUUGUCGCGUCGUCUGUGAAAUUCCGGGGCUUAACUCCGGGCGUGCAGGCGAUACGGGCAUAACUUGAGUGCUGUAGCGGAGACUGGAAUUCCUGGUGUAGCGGUGAAAUGCGCAGAUAUCAGGAGGAACACCGGUGGCGAAGGCGGGUCUCUGGGCAGUGACUGACGCUGAGGAGCGAAAGCAUGGGUAGCGAACAGGAUUAGAUGCCCUGGUAGUCCAUGCCGUAAACGGUGGGCGCUAGGUGUAGGGGUCUUCCACGACUUCUGUGCCGUAGCUAACGCAUUAAGCGCCCCGCCUGGGGAGUACGGCCGCAAGGCUAAAACUCAAAUGAAUUGACGGGG